rnacentral:ncRNA from 1 species
AAAACGGAUCUUUUCAGAUCGACCAUCAAAAUAAUAAAAUAUUAA